UACGGGGGGGUAAGCGUUGUUCGGAAUUACUGGGCGUAAAGGGCUCGUAGGCGGCCAACUAAGUCAGACGUGAAAUCCCUCAGCUUAACUGGGGAACUGCGUCUGAUACUGGAUGGCUUGGAUUCGGGAGAGGAAUGCGGAAUUCCAGGUGUAGCGGUGAAAUGACGUAGAUAUCUGGAGGAACACCGGUGGCGAAGGCGGCAUUCUGGACCGAUAUUGACGCUGAGGAGCGAAAGCCAGGGGAGCAAACGGG
rnacentral:rRNA from 1 species